GGGGGGGGGGUGGGGUGUGGAUUUAAAAAAAGGGGUUAAGAAAAAGGCAAAAAAAUUCAAAAAACCCCAAAAGUGCCCAAAAAAAGGUUAAAACCCCCUCAGAAAAAUUAAAUAAGUCGCCGGGGGCCGCCCGGGACAGCGUUCCCCGCGAGAGCGAGGAGCGAAAAUGGCCGCCCCGAAAUUUAUUUUUAAAUCCGAACCCCCCCACACAACCUUCCCCCCCCCCCCCGGCUCAGACAGACAGACAGACACACGCACAGCUCGGAAGGGAAAAUAAAAUAAUAAUUAAAAAAAAAAAACAACAAAAAGAGGAAAAAAAAGGGAGGAGAAAGGGGGGGGUGAAGGAAAAAAAAACGGAAAAAAUUCCCCCCCCCCCCCCCUCACCACCCCCCUUUAAGGAAAAAAAUAAGCCCAAAAUGGCCGGCUGAGGGGGGUUUAGGUCGCCCCCGCUCCCGCACACACCUUCCUGGAGGGUAGAAAAGAUCCCGGCUCGGUGCGUGAGAUGAACAAUAUUUGUGUAUUCCCGGCGCUGGCGGGGGGGGGAACCGAAAGAGGAAGAUUUCUGCAUAAAACAAAGAUGGCUGCGGUGACGGUGACGACCACCAGACCCUCCUUCCCGGGGAUACCGGAGCCACCGCGGUGCGCCGGACGCGGAGCAGCUGGACACAGACACGCACAGCCGGACACGGACAGGCGGACGGGGACAGGCGGACGGGCAUCGAGAACGCCGCGAGCCCUCCGGGGGGGGGGGCGUAAGGUCAGCGUCGGGGACGCGUCCCACGUGACGUGCGGCUGUGCCAGGGGCUGGCAGCCACCCACGGGGACAAACAGCCGGCGCCACGCGCCCGGCGGUUGUCACCUGCCGUCACCCGCUGUGGGUCUGGCGGGAAAACACCCCUGUGGCGGGGGGUACAGCGUCACCGUCACCCCGGGGGGGUGGGGGAC